AUUGAACGCUGGCGGCAUGCCUUACACAUGCAAGUCGAACGGCAGCGGGGACUUCGGUCCGCCGGCGAGUGGCGAACGGGUGAGUAAAGCAUCGGAACGUACCCGGAAGUGGGGGAUAACGUAGCGAAAGUUACGCUAAUACCGCAUAUUCUGUGAGCAGGAAAGAGGGGGAUCUUCGGACCUCUUGCUUUCGGAGCGGCCGAUGUCAGAUUAGCUAGUUGGUGAGGUAAGGGCUCACCAAGGCGACGAUCUGUAGCGGGUCUGAGAGGAUGAUCCGCCACACUGGAACUGAGACACGGUCCAGACUCCUACGGGAGGCAGCAGUGGGGAAUUUUGGACAAUGGGCGCAAGCCUGAUCCAGCCAUGCCGCGUGAGUGAAGAAGGCCUUCGGGUUGUAAAGCUCUUUCGGCCGGGAAGAAAUCGCAUGGGUUAAUACCCUGUGCGGAUGACGGUACCGGCAUAAGAAGCACCGGCUAACUCCGUGCCAGCCGCCGCAGUAA
rnacentral:rRNA from 1 species